rnacentral:rRNA from 1 species
UACGUAGGCAGCGAGCGUUGUUCGGAAUCAUUGGGCGUAAAGAGCGUGUAGGCGGCCACUUAAGUCCUGCGUGAAAUCUUGCGGCUCAACCGCAAGCGGUCGUGGGAAACUGGGUGGCUAGAGUGCGGGAGAGGAGAGUGGAAUUCCUGGUGUAGCGGUGGAAUGCGCAGAUAUCAGGAAGAACACCCGUGGCGAAGGCGGCUCUCUGGAACGCAACUGACGCUGAGACGCGAAAGCGUGGGGAGCAAACAGG